UUUUUAGUUGAACAAUAUGUCUAAUUUUGGUGAUUUUAUUUUUAUUUUAUCAAUAUAAAAUAUUUUUUUGGUUGGAUGGAGUAGGGUUGAACCCAACUCAUGAAUUGCUACUUGUCGACUGUUUAGGAAUAUUACUAAUUGUUUGGAUAUGCAGGUACAGAACACACUUGAAUUGUUUGGAUUCCAAUUUACUUGUGAUUGAAAUCCAGAAAACUUGGUUGGAUUCGACUAUGAUAUUUAUGUACGGAAUUGUGCUUUUAAUUUGGAUAUGCAGGUACAAAACACACUUGACUUGUUUGGAUUCCAAUUUACUUAUGACUGAAAUCCAAAAAACUUGGUUGGAUGCGAUUCGAUUAUAAUAUUUAUGUAUAGAAUUGUGUUUUUGGUUUGGAUAAACAGGUACAAAACACACUUGCAUUGCUUGGAUUCCAAUUUAGUGUUGAUAGGAAUCCAAACAACUUGGUUGGAUUCGAUUAUUAUAUGUUUGUGUAGAAUUGUGCUUUUGGUUAGGAUAUGCAUGUACAAAACACACUUGAAUUGUUUGGAUUCCAAUUUACUAUUGAUUGGAAUCUAAACAAAUUGGUUGGAUUCGAUUAUGAUAUUUAUGUAUAGAAUUGUACUUUUGGCUUGGAUAUGAAAGUACAAAAUACACUUGAAUUAUUUUGUUUCUAAUUAUUGUAUUUUAAUUAGAUUCAUAAAUCUAGACUUUUGGCAAGGAAUAUGGUUGUAUUAUGUUUUUAUGGAAUAUACGUAUUUGAAUUGUAAUGCAGUAUGUAUACUAAACCGUUUGAUGAUAAUUUCUUAUAAAUGAUAAGUAGUUUUUAGCCUUUAUAAUAUGUUCAAUUCUUGAUUAUGAGUGCUGAAUUUUGAUAUUUUACCUUUCGAAAUAUGAAAAACACAUCCUGCAGAAUGAAAUAUUUCACACUGUAAUCCAAGAAUAUGUUCUAAUAUAAUAAAUCGUAAUUAUUUAUAUAUUUGUUUUUCCAAAUAAUUGUAUAACAUCUUCAGCCUUUAAUACUAUAAAAUGAAAAAUUUACCCACAACCUCAGUUGUCGUGCAAAUAUCCCAAGACGCUUGGGUUUCAUCUAACCCUCUUCUAACAGCACCAUCCACAUCAGACCAUAGUGUGACCAUUAUUCUCAAAAUAUUAACUAAUUUUCUCAUCUUCCAGAACUUUAUCUGCAAAUAUACCUCUCUCUCUCCAAAAACCUAAAUUCUAGAAUGCCUUGCUCCCGAAAAAGACAGAUAUUGGUAUGUAGGCUGACCGACGACGGGUUGUUUGAGAUUGGUUACGACAAACUAAUUGCUAGAGAUUACUUCUAUUACAAUGACAGGGCAGCGAGAUUGAGAGAAUAGUUGGAGGGGUUGAAUUUUAUGAUUGAGAGGUAGGUUGAAGGGAGUUUGAGCUGGUGGGGGUGUCACGUAUCUGUUGGAAAUGAGCCACUUAAUAGGGACCAUAGUGUUUCCGGAUAAUCCGGCAAGAAUAGCUUUUGAGGAAGGGGUUGUGCAUAACUUCUAUGCGAACUUGGAGAAAAGGGCUGGGGUAAGUGGAUGCACAUAUUCUGGGAAAGUGUAUGUCCACGGGGAGGUUAUGGGCACCAAGAACGUCGGAGGGGUGACAUCUGGGGCUUCAACUGAGGAGAUUGUGAAAGAGCUAACUGGAGAAAGAAUACAACAUUGGCCGUCUGGGGUUUUGCGGGACCAGCUGACAAAGAAAUAUUGGCUUUUGCACGAGAUUGGAUCGUCCAAUUGGUACCCGACUAGUGACCCGAAUUACGUGUCAUUGCAUAAGGCGCAGUUACUAUUCUCCGUCGGCCGGGGGCUAGAUUUCAAUAUCAGGCCCAGGGCAGGCCACGACUUCUAUAUUUUCCUAUUCUGAUUGUUACAGUUCUGUGUCAACAGGAAUACAAGGUUCACUUCACUGGGAAAUUCAACAACAGCAGACCAGGUGCGAACAUAGUGAGCCGUGAGCUACUUUAAUGUAAUAGGAAGGUGGACGAUCUCACCAAACUUGCCACCUCGCCUCCUCCAGCUGCGGGCGAAAGAGGGUGCAUUAUGGUGUAGGAUUUCAUCCGUGGAUAUUUGAAUAAGAAACAAGAGUUGAAGCGUAGUGAAUUUGCCGCUUUGGAAGUUCAGAUUAAAGCUCUCUCCGUCGGUGGUCCGAUAGCAUUGCCACCAUCAUCCCCCGACGGUGCAGAAGACGAAUGAUAUCAAUGCUUGUACUUGUAGCCGUGUUCUUUUUUUUUUUUUUUUUUUUUUUGUAAAUAAAGCGUGUAUAUUGUUAACGGUUGCUUGAUGAACAAUAUCAUACGAAAGUUAAGUUUUGUGGGUUGUCAUAUUUUCAUUUUUAGGUAUUGCGAAAUUGUGAUGAAGCAACUCUAUGGCGUCAAAACUCCUUUUUUUUUGUGUUUUGAAAUGUUAUAGGUUUUGUCCUUCAAUGUUGUUAUAUGCAGAUUGCCAUAAUAUCAUUUAAAAAGUAGACAGAAGUCACAAUUUAUGGAAUUGCACGAAUACAAUUCACAUUGGUGGUUGUGGUCGUGGUGGUCUCACUGGGUAAACACUUUCCACAAAUGCCGGGUUUAAGUAAAAUUUUCAUCGCUACUUUCUUCCUCCAAUAUUACAAGAAGAAAUUACAAUUAUCAUAUUUGUGAAAGAAUUGAAUAGAUGCUUCAUAAAGAUAAAUUGUUAAACCUGGUAUUGAGAACGUUCAUGGUGCAUAUCGUAAGGAAUACUUGAAUGUGACAUCACAUUCAUGUCCGCCAGACUGUGCUCCGAUGUCAUUGGAGAAAACUGGGGAACGUAGCUUCUGCUGCCCACAUUCUCAAAACCACUUGUUGCCUGCUUACAAUUAACUUUACCACGAGACGAACAACCAGCUUUUGGAUUAAGCUCUCAAGUCGUUGUCUUGUGUCAAGGUUUCCUUCAAAAUUCUCACAUAAAUUAUUAGAAAUAAUAUGCUCUCAAAUUUAUUUUUUUAUAUAAAAUAGAUACAUAUCGCACUAACCUGCAAAACGAGCAUAACUGUUUCUUUCCUAUGGAUCCUCCUUUGAAACAAUUUUACAAGGAUCCACCACAUUUCUUGGAUGUUUGACAUUUUGAAUUGGAUCCUCACCGUCAGAAUGUUCUUGUGAACAAGAUUCAUCAUCCUCGUCAGUCGGUGUGACAUUAAAUUUGUUGGGAAUCAGGCACGUGUACGUAGAGGAAAACAAAAAAUUUAUAUGAAUUUUUAUUUUAUUCAUAUAAACACAUACCCGAAAUUAAGCAAUUAAUUACGUACCUUAACGCUGCCAGCAAAAUUUAAAAACACCAUGCAUAUUAAUUCGAUAAUUAAAAACAUAUAGCAUGCUCGCAAAGAAUCGUAAUAUUCAUACAAAUAUUUUCACGAAAAAGGAUCAAGUAAAAACAUACAAAACAAAUUUCAUGAAAACAUACAACGUACAAUUUAGUCUAAUUAAAUUAAACCUUAAACCUAACAGAUCCGAAAGAUUACCUCUUGAAGCGUGAGGCGAACUAUCGGAUUGGAGCAAACUGCCACGGAAAACAAUCCGUCCAGUCGGGAGGAGCAGCGGGGAAGCAGUGGUGGCGGACGCACGGGUCAGCGGCAGGGCGUGAGAUUCACGCACUGUCUUCGGGCGGCGCGUGAAGGCGUGUGCGGCGGUGAUUCGGCGACGCCUUCUCGGCGAUUUGACUCCUUUGUCUUUCUCCUCUCGGAUUUCACCUCGUAUACUGAGUUCUACUAAAUAGGUGGCACUAGACA